UCGAAAGAAAUUGUUCAACCCUGUACUUCUCAGAUCAGUUUGAAUUUUGAAAUUCAAAAUUACUAAGUACUUUAUUUCUUCCAAUAUCUCUCUCUUUCUAUAUACGUUAUUUCUUUUACGAACUUGAAUUGCAAACAAAUUAUAGUUACAAGAUGAUGAUGGUGAUAAAUCAGUUGCCGAUAAUAUACUCAUUUGAAUUUUAGAUCUUGAUAUUUGAAUUCACAUCUAUCGCCUAUAUAGAUCUCUUCCUCUUCUUCUCCUGCUAUGUCUCUUAUACUAUUUUCUCUCCUUCUUUAAGAUGUUUAGGUUAUUUGUUUGAUGAAAUGAAAUACUUAUAUGAUUGUGAGAUUUUUCAGAUGAUAAUGAUUUACAUUGUGAAGAUGCUUUGGAUGCUUCGAUGUUGAUGGAUGACCACCGCCAUCGUUUUACAGAAAUAUUGGUUGUGAUCAAGGUGUUCGUAGAAAUGCCCCACUAAAUUCAGAUAUAUAGCCAUCUUCUUUGUGUGAGAAAAGAUAAGGAGUUGUGCCUGUAUUUUGUGAUGAUUAGUGCUGCCAUGAAAGCUGUUGCUGGUGUAAAAAUGGGUUUAAUGAGAACAACCAUGACGA